CUCUCGGUAGCCAAGUUGGUCUAAGGCGCAAGACUGUAAAUCUUGAGAUCGGGCGUUCGACUCGCCCCCGGGAGA
rnacentral:tRNA from 4 species